rnacentral:lncRNA from 1 species
CUUUUUACAGCACUGAGUGUCACAGAAUGUUAGAAAGAAGGCUCAGUAUUUAUAGUUGCUGACAGAAUGAUACAGUGAGAGCCAUUAGUAGAGUGGCAAGGUGUCAAACUGGAAUCCCAUGCAAACAACCCUAUAAGACUCCUGUUUAAGCAACACAAGUUUGCAGUGAUUCAGGCCUUCUUCUGAAGAGACAGCCUCUUAAUGAGUGAUGAAGGUAAAGAAAAGGAAAACAUCAGGAGGACAAUAUCAUGACAGAAGGACUUCUAGACUCCCUCUCUAUCUCUUAUUGCUGUAUAAGGUAAAUCCUCAGAGAUACCAAAUUACAUGUUAAAGACAGGAUUUAAGGAAAGUGAAAGUUGGAUACAAAAGUAGGAUUCCUGUUACCCUCCCAGAAAGGACACAAAACCCAUUAAAUUAAA